rnacentral:rRNA from 1 species
UACGAAGGGGGCGAGCGUUGUUCGGAUUUACUGGGCGUAAAGGGCGCGCAGGCGGCUAUCCAAGUCAGGCGUGAAAGCCCCGGGCUUAACCUGGGAGGUGCGUCUGGGACUGGGUGGCUAGAGUUCGGGAGAGGAGAGUGGAAUUCCCAGUGUAGCGGUGAAAUGCGUAGAGAUCCGGAGGAACCCCAGAGGCGAAGGCGGCGCCCUGGCUCGCAACUGACGCUCAGACACGACAGCAUGGGGAGCGAACGGG